GUCUCCGGGAGCGGGGGCUUAGCGCGGGGACGCGGGGACGAGGGCGCUGCUCGCGGCGGCGCUGGCUCCCGGCUCUUUCCAGGCAGAGGCGAACGGCGGGCUUCGUAGAAAACCCGAAAAUGGUGAGGAAAGCUGAAAUAAGCCAGCAUGCCAAGUACACCUGUUCCUCCUGUGGCAAAACCAAGACAAAGAGACGAGCUGCGGGGAUCUGGCGUCGGGGUUCGUGCCUGAAAACCUAAGACAGGUGGUGCCUGGACCCACAGAACCAUUCCUGCCAUCACAGUAAAGUCCGCCAUCUGAAGACUGAGGAGUUGAAAGACCAGUAGAAGCUCCACCAUUUGAAACAUCGCUAGCCUGUAAUAAAUGUGUUAACUUAUGUAACAAAAUAAAAAACCCAGAUUUAUUAUCUUA